rnacentral:misc_RNA from 1 species
GUAUUCGUUGCGCUUGUUAGACGCUUCGUGUGUACAUUCCAUGUGACUGCUGGUGUGUGUGAAAUACUCGUAGACGAGGGCAUUCGCGGCCAACGAGGGCCUCGUGAUCAUCCCAGGCUACAGGUUGUGCACAGGUGUUGGAGGUGGAUGCGAUCCGGGCGUGCACGUGUGCCCCGGGGGGCCAGCUACAACCCUUCACGGCAAACGUUUCAUUAAUGAUCCUUCCGCAGGUUCACCUACGGAAA